CAAAACCCAGCAGCAGUAACGCUGUAAUAAGAAAGGAAAAAGAAGCAGAAAGGGAGAGAGGGACAGAGAGCUGCGGCAGGAGAGGAAUAGAGGGACGAGCCAGCGCCGGUGGGCCUCGCCGCUCGCUGCCAUCGUCGCUGGUGUGAUGCGGAGGAGGGAGCUAGAGGAGAAGAAGAACAACACCGUUCCUUGUCGUGGUCGAAGCUUGCUGUCGCCGCGCUACUCGGGACGGUCGCACCGCCGUCGCGAGGAUGAUGGAAGACCGCCGCUGCUGUCUGUGAAGCCACCUCCGCUGCAAAUCAGAACUGAGGUGAGAGAUAGAGAGGGCUGCGAAAGAGGGAAUCGCGCCGCCCAAUCGCCGCCUGUGCUGCCAGAUCUGUCGCGCUCUGCUGUCACGAGGUCGCUGUCGUCACUUCUUUGAAGGGAGCCUCAGUGUUGCAUUCAAGCCGCAUCGGAGGGGGAGCGCCGCCGCCAUGCCUACAUCGUCACUGAAGACGUCGGUUGUUGCUACUGCUUGUGAGGGAGAAACGCGUGAAGCGUUGUUGGAAUAGGGUUGUUUCUGCCACCAUUGGAUUCCCACUGCCGUUGAUGCCAUGGCCGCUGCACCUUUGGCCGCUGGGAAAAGUUCUGUGACUUCCGGAACCACCGCCGAAGCUUCUGGCCGCUUCUGCCGCCCGGAACCCCACUGCCGUUGCCGAAAAACUUUGUCGGUAAGGGUUUUUGAGUUGGUUUUCCUUCCUUGAAGAUUCUGGAAACUUUAUCGUCUCUGUAUGUGGGUUUUAGUCACCAUCGCCGGAGUCCAGUCGCCGCUGCCAAACUGGUUUAGAGUCCGCCACUGUUUUGUUUCGCUACUUUAAGCUGUUUAUGCUGCUGCUAAAAUGUGUAAGGCUAUGCUUUGAAGCUGCCGUUGAUUUUGGGUCGAGACGAAAGGAUUUCUGAGAGGCGUUUGGAUUAUAGUUUCGACAAUUGAGGUAGGGGCCUUUAUAGAAAACCACAUUUUAUGAAUUAGAAUUAUUAUAUAUGGAUAUUGACAUGAGCAAAUAUAUCUUUGAGUGAUUGUAUAAGUCUUAUGUAAUUGUUGGUUGUCUUGGAUGAAUAUGAAUGCUUGAUUGGCUGGGUUAUUGUUCGGUUUCGUGAAACGGACAAUUAUUGAAAUACUUCUUUAAAGUUAAUUUGUAAAAGCUUUGAAAUCGAGUUUAUCCUAUUAGAAAUUGAUUUGAAUUUGAUUUGGUGUUCUUGAAAUCUGAACAUGCUGCACCCUUGGAAACAGCUUGAUUUUGAACUGAUUUGGUUUUGAAUCCCUUGAAGAGGGUUACAGAAUGGUUUAUUUGGGACCCGGAAAUGGUGGCAAGUCCAAGUUUUAGGGGAGGUGCUGUCGAAAUUUCUAUAAAAUCUGGGACUUUAAUUGGAAAUGUUAUUCGUAAAAUUAUGAAUUUAAGGUCUUUACUAUUUCACUUGGAGAAUUCUGAACUUAAGACUUUUAUUUUCUUCACUUAAAUUAUUUAUGAAAGUGAUGAAAUUAUGUUUUGAAAAGAAUCUUGGAAAAGAGGAUUAUGCCUUAGCUUUGUUUCCUAAGAAAAGCACCAUAUUUUUUGGUGCAAGUCAUUUGGAAGAAAAUUAUGUUUUUAAGACUGUUUAAGGGGUGGAAGGAGUUUAGGUUUUCUUGGAUUUGACUUAAACACGGUUUAUGUUGUUUAGGUUUUUGAUUUACAAAUUUCAAAUUUCAAUGUUUUAGGGAAGGUUUAAUGUAUUCUUUGAGUUCUAGUUUAGCAAAACUAAAAUGAUUUUCGAGCCCUUGGAAACGCUUCAAAUUUUUAAACAUGGGGUUGAAAUUGGUUUUAGUAUAGACCAAAGAAAAGACUUUGAAAAUGUGGUUUGAGUAAUUGAUUACACGACUUGAUUUGGCUUAAAUUCCAUUCUUAUUUUUAUUUAUUCAAAUCAAGAAAAUUAAGGUUUUACAGAUUUUAAACGAAUUUGAAGAAAUAAAUUAUGUUAUGCUCCCCUAAAGACUUGAGACUCUGCCGAAGAACUUUUGUUACAAAAUCCUGUUUUUGGAUGGAUGAUUUUGAAUAUUUCAGAAAAGAUCUUUAAUUUGCCAUGGUUUUAGAAGUUUUGGAAAGAGGAUGCCGAUGGUGGCUUUGUUUUAAAAAGGGAACCUACUUUGAGUAAAAGUGGAUUAUGAGUCUGAAAUGAUUUGAGGAAUGGGAACUUUAAAGCAAAGGCUGAAAAGAAUUGAUUUUUGAUUUCAAAGUGAAGUAAAUUGAGAAAAAGUGAUUUAUGGCUUGAAUGAUGGUUUUAUGAGUUUGAUGAUGUUGGAUGGUGGAAGUGCUAUUAUGUUAUGAGCCGGAAUGGCUGUGUAUGAUAAUGAAUUAUGGCUGAUUGUGGAAUAUGUUAUGAGCGGAUGGCUGACUAUGAAUCAUGAAUUUAAGCCGGAUGGCUACGAUGAAUGUUGAUUUAUGGUUGAGAAUAAAUGCAUAUAUGCUGAGUUAUUAAUAUUGUGAUUGUUGCAUGAUAAACCACUAUUUUAUGGUUUCUCUUGUACUCAAUUGAGUGGUUUUUAUCAAGUCUUUGCUCACUUAUUCAUAUAAAUUGCUUGGUUUUACAAUUCCUUCCUUAUUCUUUAAUUUAUGUGAAAACAUGUUUCCUAGACCUUAAAACUGUUAAUUUUAAUUAUCCUUUAUCACCAUUCGAUACCGUAAUCCGUGUGUUAAGUAUUUUCAGGCUUUAUAGGGCAAGAAUGGCUUAGAGGACAGAAAGGAAACAUGCAAAAGUGGAAGAAAUGCGCGAAAAUGAAGUUUUGAAGAAAAUGGCAGCGACACGCACGCAUGGACGAUGCGGACGCGUGCCAAGCACAAAACACCAGCGACGCGUACGCGUGACAAGGAAAAAAACGCCAAAUGACGCACACACGUGACCCACGCGCACGCGUGACAGACGCCACGUGCAGAAAGUUGCAGAAAACGUUCCCAGCGAUUUCUGGGCUAUUUUUGACCCAGUUUUUUACCCAGAAAACACAGAUUAUAGGCUAUAAAGUGGGGGAAUCAAUUUAUUCAUUAAAACAUUUAUAAUUCACACAAUUUUAGGUUUUAGAUGUAGUUUUCUAGAGAGAAAGGCUCUCUCAUCUCUCUUAGGAUUUAGGAUUUAGGAUUUCUCUUAGGUUAGGUUUACUUCUUCUUCAUUCCAGGUUCAAUGUUUCUUUAAUUUAGUUUCUCUUCUACUUUUAUCUAUUCUAUGACUUCAGUUCAUUUAUUUUCCCAAUUUGAUUUCUGAACUCCAUGUUAGAUUUGAUUUUCUUUAUUUAAUGCAAUUUGAGGUAUUUUAGAUU